UCAUUACAUUUAUAUAGAGAUUGAACGGUCGGGACCGGCGGUAGACUUCAACAUAAGCAGGGUAUUCGAGAUAUCUCUUGUUCGAGCUACCGAUAUUUACCUGUGAUAAGAUUCAUUGGUAUGGGAUCUUUAGAAACCUAAUGGCUAUAUGUACAUGUAUAUAUUGGGUGCAGUAGGAAAGUUGUAUGAACCUCUUUGGUCCCCAAAAUGAACAAAUAAGCUAACUAUGUCAUAUACAUAUACUUUUUCUUUGUUUUUUGUAGAAUCAUGUGAUGAUGACCCUUUUGAUUUAGCAGAAUCAUGUGAUGAUGACCAUUUUGAUUUAGCACCUGGAAGUAGAAGUCAAGCCUGGAUGAGCUUUUUAAUGAAUCACAUGAUGAUGAUGAUGAUGAUCAGAGCUAUACUGACAUCUGGACAAAGAGCAAAAGUGGAGCCCUGGAUUCACAGUUUAAAGAUUGAAAGUUUUUGUGAACAGAAUUUAGGUUAGCAGCAUAGAAAAAUCACUGCAUGCAGACCUUUCAACUCUGGAAAAGAAACCUUGGACACCCAAGACCUUGUUGAGGCCAGGGGCAAGAAAUGGCAAGCAGUCUACCUGACCUACAUGAGAAACACACAUUUUGCCGGAAAACGAAUCUGACUUCACAUUAUGAAAUUUUACCAAGAGAGAGGCAAUUUUAUGAGCUUUCGUUCAAGAGGUCCCUCGUUGCUGAACGAAAAUUAAGGCUUUGGAGCUAUGAACCUGAACGUUAACAUUACCGCCUAUGGAAAUGCAUUAGUGGACUAUACCAAUAUUGAGCUCCAUGCUGAUACCUUGUAAAUUGAAUUGGAACUUCAUUAAAGAUUAAAACACAACAAUGAGACACACUAGAUAGUUUUUCAGUACAGACUUCACACCAUAAAAUUUUAACAGGAAAGAGGCAAUUUGAUGAGCUUUUAUUCAAGAGGUCCUUCGUUGCUGAACGAAAAAUAGGGCCGGAGCUAUGAACCGGAACGUUUACAUUACCGCCUAUGGAAAAUGCAUCAGUGGACUAUACUCAGGCGUUUUAUGUGGAUACGAAGGUAGCGAGCAUUGCAGGAAAAAUACACAGCUAGUGUUACCCUAGAAAGCAUUUAAUGGGGUUUACCAUCAGAAAAAUCUGGUAUUUGAAGUGGUGAAAUGACCGGCGGCUGCCAAAAGGGUACCCCCUUUGUCUGGACAACUCACACAGUUUUCAAAAUAUAAAGGUUUUUUGUUCUGCAGAUCAAUUGUAUAUAUAAUCGAGAUAUGCAUUAUUGCUAGGAUUUUCACUUUUGUAAAUUUUUGCAAAAAAUACCCACUUUUGAACUAGUCAUUUGCUUAUAGGGUACAUCUUUUGUGCAAAUAACUCCUCCCAACAGUUUUGAAGAUAGGUAUAUCUUAAUUUUGUAGAUUAAUUGUACAAUCUCAACCCCCACAAACUUGAAAUGAUGACCAAAUAUCUUAAAAACAAAUGGGAUCUCCACCCCUAAACAAUGAAUGUUCUUGUUCAUUGUGUAGGUCAUGACCUUAGAGGGUGGUUAUGAAGAUAAACAUUUACAAUUUUCUUCAAUACAGAAUGUUGAUACAGGAAAAAAAUUUGAUAUUUUUAUAUUAUAUAUAGCAACAAGAGUAAACUGGUCAAACAAGGAAGUAAGGUAAUAUUUUUCAGACUAUUGCACAUCAAAUACACUCCCAUGAAUGAAAAUGUGCCCAAGACUUACAGAAUGUAACUAAAAGUGCGGAAGAAUAUUGUGGAAAAGGAUAUAUGGGAGACCAUAAAGAAAAAAUAUGGAAUGACCUUAAAAGAGUUAAAAAAUAAUAAAUUUGCUAAGAUUUGCACUUUUGAUUGAGUUAUGUCUUAGUAUACAAUCAUAUAACUUUGAUGAAAUUGUUAAUAAUAUAUGUGUGUGCUCAUAGAAAAGAACAUCAUGCAUAUGCAUUGUAAUACCAGUAAAUAUCGUAUUGAAGUUGUUGAUCAUGUUAAGAUUUUCAAAGUUACAGUAUGUGAAUUGUAAUUCCACACAUACAAAAAUCUUUGUCACUGUUUUAAGAAAAAAACCAAAUUGUACCAGAAUGUGGAUAUGAACAUUUUUUGAAUAUUUUUGGAUGUGUAUUUUUUAUGAGUCAGCCAAUAACUGUUGAAUAUUUAAACUUUCACUGCAAUUUUGUAUGCGAGCUGAAUAUUAUGCCAGUUUAAAGGUCUAUGGAAUGGUCUGUUUGAUCUUCUUAACCAAACAUGUAAGAUGUCUGACAAUCUUUCUAUAAGAUUUGAUAAAUUCGUGUACAUGCAUAUGCAUUUGUGUAUAUUUCAUAUUUGAUAAUAAUUGUUGAAAUUGUUGAUAAUGUUGAGAUUGUCAAAGUUUAUGAUAGUUAUGUAAAUUGAUCAAUUUUGAGUUUAUGAUCAUAAAUUGUUGUUUAAAGUUCCUUUAAGUUGUUGUUUUUCACUUUCCUUAAUAAUGAUGCUCAAUUUUCGUUGAAUUUAUGGGUGCCUCUUAUCCACAAAUUAACAUCCUCCAUGGAUAAAUAAUUAAGGGUUAUAAAUUACGUCCCCGCAAACUUGUAAAAUUUUAGCAAUCCACGAAUUUUAAUGAUUUCACAGUAUAGUCCCUGAAUUACUUUGUUGGCUAAAAUUGCACAUUUCUGUAUUACCCAGUAAGCCACAGACUUUUCCAUGCUUUAUUGGGUAAAUGUUGUAAGGAAUAAACCCAAAAAAGCAUGGACAAGUCUCUGACUUAAUGGGCAAUGGAUACUAGUAUAGGUAUUAACCCCCAAAAACAGUGACAGUGUUUUACUUACUGAUUACUUAUUCGGUUAUUAUAAGAACAAU